rnacentral:rRNA from 1 species
GAUCCUGGCUCAGGAUAAACGCUGGCGGCGCACAUAAGACAUGCAAGUCGAACGGAAGUCGUUAUAAAAAGGAUUGAAGAUUUAUCUGAUUGAGAUUUUAUAACAAUGGCUUUAGUGGCGGACUGGUGAGUAACGCGUGAGCAACCUGCCUACUAGAGGGGGAUAACAGUGAGAAAUCAUUGCUAAUACCGCAUAUGCCAUGAACAUCACAUGAUGAAAAUGGGAAAAG